AUUGAACGCUGGCGGCAGGCCUAACACAUGCAAGUCGAGCGGAUGAAGGGAGCUUGCUCCUGGAUUCAGCGGCGGACGGGUGAGUAAUGCCUAGGAAUCUGCCUGGUAGUGGGGGAUAACGUCCGGAAACGGGCGCUAAUACCGCAUACGUCCUGAGUGAGAAAGUGGGGGAUCUUCGGACCUCACGCUAUCAGAUGAGCCUAGGUCGGAUUAGCUAGUUGGUGGGGUAAAGGCCUACCAAGGCGACGAUCCGUAACUGGUCUGAGAGGAUGAUCAGUCACAAUGGAACUGAGACAAGGUCCAGACUACUACGGGAGGCAGCAGCGGGGAAUAUUGGACCAUGGGCGAAAGCCUGAUCCAGCCAUGCCGCGUGUGUGAAGAAGGUCUUCGGAUUGUAAAGCACUUUAAGUUGGGAGGAAGGGCAGUAAGUUAAUACCUUGCUGUUUUGACGUUACCAACAGAAUAAGCACCGGCUAACUUCGUG
rnacentral:rRNA from 1 species